AUUUCCCAUCACUUUAAGUGAGUAAGACCCCUGAGAGAUGAUCAGGUAGAUAGGUUGGGAGUGGAAGUACAGCGAUGUAUGGAGCGGACCAAUACUAAUCGGUCGAGGACUUAACCAAUUU
rnacentral:rRNA from 2 species